UGGUAUGCACUGGCUCGCUGACUCCUCCUUCUUGUAGAACCGUAAUGCCAUUAAUUUGGUGUUGCGGGGAAACAGGACUGUUACUUUGAAAAAAUUAGAGUGUUUAAAGCAGGCUAGCGCCUGAAUACAUUAGCAUGGAAUAAUGAAAUAGGACGUUCGAACCUAUUUUGUUGGUUUCUAGGAUUGACGUAAUGAUUAAUAGGGAUAGUUGGGGGCAUUAGUAUUCAAUUGUCAGAGGUGAAAUUCUUGGAUUUAUUGAAGACUGACUACUGCGAAAGCAUUUGCCAAGGAUGUUUUCAUUAAUCAAGAACGAAAGUUAGGGGAUCGAAGACGAUCAGAUACCGUCGUAGUCUUAACCAUAAACUAUGCCGAC
rnacentral:rRNA from 1 species